rnacentral:rRNA from 1 species
CCUACGGGGAGCAGCAGUGAGGAAUAUUGGUCAAUGGACGAGAGUCUGAACCAGCCAAGUAGCGUGAAGGAUGACUGCCCUAUGGGUUGUAAACUUCUUUUAUAUGGGAAUAAAAUGUUCCACGUGUGGGAUUUUGUAUGUACCAUAUGAAUAAGGAUCGGCUAACUCCGUGCCAGCAGCCGCGGUAAUACGGAUGAUCCGAGCGUUAUCCGGAUUUAUUGGGUUUAAAGGGAGCGUAGGUGGAUUGUUAAGUCAGUUGUGAAAGUUUGCGGCUCAACCGUAAAAUUGCAGUUGAAACUGGCAGUCUUGAGUACAGUAGAGGUGGGCGGAAUUCGUGGUGUAGCGGUGAAAUGCUUAGAUAUCACGAAGAACUCCGAUUGCGAAGGCAGUUCACUGGACUGCAACUGACACUGAGGCUCGAAAGUGUGGGUAUCAAACAGGAUUAGAUACCCGGGUAGUC